GUUUUCAAUGAUCGCGCCGGUGCCCGUAAAUGGGCUUAAUCGGGAAUGCGGUGCGGGGGGCCUGCCCCCCAAAUCCGUGGCUGUCCCUGCAACUGUGAGCGGAUAGCGCGAUGCACAUGUCCCCCUCCAUCCGGGGGCGGCCACUGGGCUUAACGGUCUGGGAAGGCGUGCAUCAAGCUGUGACCCGCAAGCCAGGAGACCUGCCGGCGCACCGGUCGCUCU
rnacentral:ncRNA from 2 species